rnacentral:rRNA from 1 species
UAUGGAGAGUUUGAUCCUGGCUCAGGAUGAACGCUGGCGGCGUGCCUAAUACAUGCAAGUCGAGCGAACGGACGAGAAGCUUGCUUCUCUGAUGUUAGCGGCGGACGGGUGAGUAACACGUGGAUAACCUACCUAUAAGACUGGGAUAACUUCGGGAAACCGGAGCUAAUACCGGAUAAUAUUUUGAACCGCAUGGUUCAAAAGUGAAAGACGGUCUUGCUGUCACUUAUAGAUGGAUCCGCGCUGCAUUAGCUAGUUGGUAAGGUAACGGCUUACCAAGGCAACGAUGCAUAGCCGACCUGAGAGGGUGAUCGGCCACACUGGAACUGAGACACGGUCCAGACUCCUACGGGAGGCAGCAGUAGGGAAUCUUCCGCAAUGGGCGAAAGCCUGACGGAGCAACGCCGCGUGAGUGAUGAAGGUCUUCGGAUCGUAAAACUCUGUUAUUAGGGAAGAACAUAUGUGUAAGUAACUGUGCACAUCUUGACGGUACCUAAUCAGAAAGCCACGGCUAACUACGUGCCAGCAGCCGCGGUAAUACGUAGGUGGCAAGCGUUAUCCGGAAUUAUUGGGCGUAAAGCGCGCGUAGGCGGUUUUUUAAGUCUGAUGUGAAAGCCCACGGCUCAACCGUGGAGGGUCAUUGGAAACUGGAAAACUUGAGUGCAGAAGAGGAAAGUGGAAUUCCAUGUGUAGCGGUGAAAUGCGCAGAGAUAUGGAGGAACACCAGUGGCGAAGGCGACUUUCUGGUCUGUAACUGACGCUGAUGUGCGAAAGCGUGGGGAUCAAACAGGAUUAGAUACCCUGGUAGUCCACGCCGUAAACGAUGAGUGCUAAGUGUUAGGGGGUUUCCGCCCCUUAGUGCUGCAGCUAACGCAUUAAGCACUCCGCCUGGGGAGUACGACCGCAAGGUUGAAACUCAAAGGAAUUGACGGGGACCCGCACAAGCGGUGGAGCAUGUGGUUUAAUUCGAAGCAACGCGAAGAACCUUACCAAAUCUUGACAUCCUUUGACAACUCUAGAGAUAGAGCCUUCCCCUUCGGGGGACAAAGUGACAGGUGGUGCAUGGUUGUCGUCAGCUCGUGUCGUGAGAUGUUGGGUUAAGUCCCGCAACGAGCGCAACCCUUAAGCUUAGUUGCCAUCAUUAAGUUGGGCACUCUAAGUUGACUGCCGGUGACAAACCGGAGGAAGGUGGGGAUGACGUCAAAUCAUCAUGCCCCUUAUGAUUUGGGCUACACACGUGCUACAAUGGACAAUACAAAGGGCAGCGAAACCGCGAGGUCAAGCAAAUCCCAUAAAGUUGUUCUCAGUUCGGAUUGUAGUCUGCAACUCGACUACAUGAAGCUGGAAUCGCUAGUAAUCGUAGAUCAGCAUGCUACGGUGAAUACGUUCCCGGGUCUUGUACACACCGCCCGUCACACCACGAGAGUUUGUAACACCCGAAGCCGGUGGAGUAACCUUUUAGGAGCUAGCCGUCGAAGG